CAUUUGCGGAUGAAACGGGUGGAUCGGAUGCUUAACGGGUGAUAAUUAUAAUCCUACUCUAACUAUAAAAUCUAAUACGUUAGAAUAAAAAAUAAAUUAAAAAAACAAAAAAAAACAAAAAACAAAACAAAAACUUUUAGCCAAUUGUAAACUUAAAAAGUAAACCAUUAAUUAAAUUUUUGUUCCAAACUAUAGCAAUAAUAAUAAUCAUGAACUUACUUUUUUUUUUUAACGGAAUCAUGAACUUAUUUCGGCACUACAUAAUUAGGAAUUGAGGGAGGUUUUAUAUUUUUUAAAAUAAAAUUAAAGAAUUUUUAGAUUUUUUUUUUUAGAAAUAUACCGUACAUAUAGUGUAGUAUACUAGUAUAUAAGAAAAUUGGGAGUUUAUAUAUAUAUAUAUAUAGGGAGUGGAUCAUGUGAAAACAAGUCUUUGGCUGAAAACUGAAAACAGGAAUUCUAGACCAUUGAUUUUAAUCUAACGGAUUAAAUUACAUCUGCGUUUGGGUUUUGUUUUCUAAUUUAUGACCAUCCAUUAUCUCUCUCCUCUAUUUUUCUCUCUCCUCCAUCUCACGUUCUCCAUAUCCUCCAUUCUUUCUCCUUCCCAAUUCAAAAUUAAUGUUGAACAUCAUCAAAUUAUAGAGGAAUUUGGUUCAAUCUUCAUCAAUUUCUUAAUUAGCUUAUAAAAAAGGACUGUAUCUUUCAUAUUGAUGGUCAGUACUUGGAGGUAGCAUUGACUACUAAGAAAAUGUAUAGAUGCGGUCUGUCUUUGCAGGACAAUGUAUUUGUCUAUGUGGUUGCAUCUACUCGUAUAAAGUACCAGUCGGCAUGCCUUAUCGAAUAGGCGAAUGUAUGUUUUGGUUUUAAUCAAGCCUCUACGUUUUUGGCAUGUUGAAAGCCUAUUAGCUCAAUUGGUCGAGCACCGUGUAAUCACGGGAUGUAGGUUCGAAUCCUACAUAUACUUUUUCUUAAUACCCUUUAUUUUUAUAAUUCGUGACUUUUGUUCUCUUUCAUGUAUUACCUAAUUGAAUUAAUAGGCCGAGUCAAAUUGAAAAA